rnacentral:pre_miRNA from 13 species
UAAUCUGUUUGAGACAUAUUCUCAUGUAAUUAUGACAAACUCAUACUUAACUGCUCAGAAUCAUUUGUUAUCAUAUACCCGACAAUAUCAUUAACAUUAAAAAAUAGAGAACAACUAUUGUGUGAACAAUAAC